CGAGAGCAAGCGGACCUCAUAAAGUGCGUCGUAGUCCGGAUUGGAGUCUGCAACUCGACUCCAUGAAGUCGGAAUCGCUAGUAAUCGUGGAUCAGAAUGCCACGGUGAAUACGUUCCCGGGCCUUGUACACACCGCCCGUCACACCAUGGGAGUGGGUUGCAAAAGAAGUAGGUAGCUUAACCUUCGGGAGGGCGCUUACCACUUUGUGAUUCAUGACUGGGGUGAAGUCGUAACAAGGUAACCGUAGGGGAACCUGC
rnacentral:rRNA from 4 species